CACCUUUACUACUUCCGUAACAUCCUCAAUUAGUGUUGAUUGGCACCCUGUCACACCCUUUCUCCAUCCUUUCCAUCAAGAUCCUUUUGUCAUGCGCGAUGGGGGAUUGCCGAAGGGGCUCAGCCAUGACUCGAGGAUGCUGUCGCCCUCCACACAUGAGCCCCUGCGCAUGUGCAUUCGCCGCUGUACUGCGCGCUGCCGUACUACGUAGCUGCCCCUGCCCGCCGCCGCCUCUGCACAUGUGCCCUCGCCGCCGCUAUGCGUAUCGCCGCCAUGCAUCACUCAAGGACGCCGACGCCCCUGCCCGCCAUCGCCCCUGCACGCGUGUGCUCGACGUUGCCCUACGGGUCGUCUCCCAACAUCACUCGAGGACGCCGACACCUCCGAAAAUCUGCAGUCCAUCACCAAGGUCACUGGCCCACUGCAGUGAGUCCGGUUAAUUUGUUCUUUUCCAUAAUAAUUUCUAUUUGGUUCCAAAUUCUAAGGUGGAUCGUCCUACUGAUGUGAUUCAUAAUAUUAACACAAUAUUUUUCUGAACCUGCACACUAGGAGAUUGGUCCAGACGAUAUUUAAGGCAUGAGCAAUGUGACGUCAUACACUCACACUCAAUGUAAGUAUACAUAUCAGAAAUACAUCAUGUGUAUUUUUGAGUUGUUAAAUAAUAUAUAAAGUUCUUCUCCAAAAAAUAUAAAGAUGAAGAAGUAUGCCUUGAUGCGCAGGCUGGGUCGGAGAUUUGUCAGAAAUUGGUCUCCUUGAGGCGGUGGAAAUAGAAUUGUGGACGGUUCAUAGGACUCCUAUCAGAUCACAUACUGAUUGAUUUGAAUUCAUCCACAUCUUCACUUUGGUUGAUCUUUCCGGAUGCAGAUGUAUCUGCUUUAUCCUAAAUGAUUUCUUUUUCUUGAUUGUCAUUGGUGUCACAACUGAUGUUGCUGGACUACAUGUUGCCUCAGGCUACGCUACGAGCUUGCUGAAAUUAUUUGGUCUAUUCUUACAACUUUUUUUAGAUGAUUCUUCCCACUUCAUAUACUUAAUAUGAUUUAUUAGCUUCUUUCACUAUUAUUAAAUUAAAGUGAGCACAACUGUGUAAGCCAGAUUUUAUUGUGUGACCUCUCAGUUAUUCAAAUCCCCUGAUGUAUAAAUAUAAUCCUUUGUAUUAUCAGGAAUAUGAUGUUGCUCUUCUGUUGAGAGAUCGGAGAUGGCUCAGGUAACUCUUUGUUGUACCACAAGAAAAAAACUCUAAUACCCAUUGAGUACUCAACCUGUAUAAGCUUAUAGGCUGUAGACUAUCUUUUGGAGUUUUGGUAUUUAACUAUGCCUGAGUAUUGCGACAAGGGUUAUUUAUUCACUCCAUGAUUCAGGUAAAUCUGCAAUGCAUUUUGACGAAUUCUAGGAGCAAUUUCCUCAGAAGCUUGCAGCGGUACUACAUGAUCUCACAUUAGUUCUUUUCCAUACCCAUGGACCUUACAGUGGUACGAUUUUAAUAUUCUCUAAUCCUCCAGGCCGGUGUUGUGAUUCAUCACCAUGUUUUCAUGUUUAGUUCUGUCUCAAAAAGGUAAUUUAUGAAAAUGAGUUCCUGUUGCAAUGCAUCUUUUGUUGUACAAUGCAGUGGAUUUUUAUGAAAAUGAGCUCCGGUUGCAAUACCGCUUUUGUUCUAUAAUCCAGUGGUUGGACAAAAUGUAUGGAGUUUUUAUUUCAUGGAUAUCAACAAUACCAUUCAUUGGCGGAGACUUUAGUGAAGCUGAUAUUUGUGAAGGUCUUUCUGAUCAACUCUUAGUACGCUUCCUCUUUUGUAUGCCUUCUGUUUCUAUCUGUUGCAAAGGGAUUGUAAUGUGCAGGUCAAUUAGGCGCAAAGCCAUGACUUGCUCUCUCCUAUUUUCCAUUUUCUCCUUACCUGUAGUAUCCCGUGCUUGGUUUCUACUUUUUUUCAUUUCUCUUGUAGGUCCGUUGGCCACGGCUGCCAUGUGCUUUGUUGGAUAAGAAGCACUAUUCCAGUUCAGUGUCUAGACCAAACCCUUUGAACCUACAAGACCCGAGUUAAGUUAUCUCACUGACUUCACUAUAGUACAACAAAUAGAUGGCCUUGCUGAUGCCAAGGAUCUUUUCUUCGGAGGCUUUCAAGCAUAAUCAAUGAGGACGUGGUGCCCGUGCAUGGGUAUGGCAGUGAGAGCUAUUCCUGAGAAAAUUAGAAGAAAAGAAUACAAAGAAGCUGCUGCAAAAGCACAUGCAUAAGAGGAAGCCCUGGCCUUACAGUUAGGCGGCGAUGCAGAUGAACCCACCACUAAGCUGGUGUUACUGAUCCUGAUGUAUCUGUAUGAUCCUUCCUUUCCCAUUUAUUACUAU